rnacentral:misc_RNA from 1 species
GAUGAAGAACGCAGCGAAAUGCGAUACGUAAUGUGAAUUGCAGAAUUCAGUGAAUCAUCAAAUCUUUGAACGCAUAUUGCGCUCUCUGGUAUUCCGGAGAGCAUGCUUGUUUGAGUAUCAGUAAACACCUCAACUUCCAUAUCUUUUUUGAAAUGGGAGUUGGACUUGAGUGAUCCCAACGCUUUUCCUCACCGAAAAGUGGCGGGUUACUUGAAAUGCAGGUGCAGCUGGACUUUUCUCUGAGCUAUAAGCAUAUCUAUUUAGUCUGCCUAAAAACAGAUUAUUACCUUUGCUGCAGCUAACAUAAAGGAGAUUAGUUCUUGUGCUGACUGAUGCAGGAUUCACAAAGACAGGCUUCGGCCGACUUUGUAAACUCGAUCUCAAAUCAAGUAAGACUACCCGCUGAACUUAAGCAUAUCAAUAAGCGGAGGA